CGGGGCGUAGUUCAGUUUGGUAGAACGCAUGACUGGGGGUCAUGAGGCCGCAGGUUCAAGUCCUGUCGCUCCGACCA
rnacentral:tRNA from 2 species